rnacentral:rRNA from 1 species
UGCGCAGGCGGAACGAUAAGUCAGUGGUGAAAUCCUACAGCUCAACUGUAGAACUGCCAUUGAAACUGUCGAUCUUGAGUAUAGUUGAAGUGGGCGGAAUGUAUCAUGUAGCGGUGAAAUGCAUAGAUAUGAUACAGAACUCCGAUAGCGAAGGCAGCUCACUAACCUAUAACUGACGCUCAGGCACGAAAGCGUGGGGAGCGAACAGGAUUAGAUACCCUGGUAGUCC